rnacentral:pre_miRNA from 1 species
AAUGAGAUUGCUGGGUCAUAUGGUAGCUCUGUUUAACUUUUUGAGGAACUGCCAAACUCUUUUCCACAGUGGCUGACCAUUGUGCUUUCCCACCAGCAAU